CCCCCACAGCGCUCCAUGUGUUCAGUUUUAUUUGAUGUAAAGAGCUGCAUUUCAACUCACUGUGUGUUACAGUGACUGUGACUCUCGCGUGCACAGGUGUGUCAGUUCUCACCUGAACCAGACAGCUCAGAGCAGCAUUCAGCCCAGGUCCCAACUGACAGAGAACAGAGCAUUGGGAUAAUGCAGGUGUGGACCUGUCACUCAAACAAAAAAGCAGCCGAUGGCAUUCAAUGCCAGGGACCAAGAGUUGGAACCAGACAACCUUGCUCGGAAACCUUUAGCUAAAUUUGCUAUUUUUGUAUGAAGC